GGAAGCACAUUCAAAGAUGUAGAUCCCCUCAGAGAAGUUUUCCAUUUUCCUGAAAUUAAAGAUCUUCAAAUGACUGCAAAUAACAUGAGGAUAUAUAGAAAAGUGCCCUUCCCCAAUUUCCAAAUCAUGAAAAUUUGGCUCAGCAGGUGUACACUUAAAGCAUUCUGGGAAUAUGAAUCCCUUCUGCACCCGGGAUUCACCAGUCCAGCCAUGCAUGGAGCUGGGGAAAGCAGGCCCUGAACUGUCUAGAGAGACUUGGUGGAGGAGGCCACGGCCCGUCUUGUCCCUGCCGGGUCCUGGCCAGGAACAACUGGAUGUUGUAAAUGUUUCUCAUCUGGCCUUAAAAUCCAUGAAAGCUGGAAAAUGCCAAGGCAUCUGUGCACAUACUGGUGGAUUUUAAUGAGAGUCCUGUGUUUGGAGCACCAGAAAUAAACCAGCUUCAGAAGCAAAGUGAGACUGGGCAUGAUUCAGAAAAGCUGGAAGAUCUAGAGAGGGAUCUUGCAAUCUGAAGUUUGUUUAGUCACUGGAGGAUUUGAACGUCUAUGACACUCUUCCGAGCUGACACAGUGAAGAACAUGGAAGGAGAACUCACCCAGUCUGCCAGGGUCACAGAUGAUCAUACUCAAGAUCUUCCUGGGGAGUCAACGGCAAAUUUCACUGGGCUACUUUACAGAUGAAGAAGGAAUAUAAAGAAGGUUCUGGGACCCU
rnacentral:lncRNA from 1 species